rnacentral:pre_miRNA from 1 species
UACAUACUCCCUCCGUUCGGAAUUACUCGUCCAAGAAAUGAAUGUAUCUAGAUGUAUUUUAGUUGUAGAUACAUCCAUUUUUGUGAUAAGUAAUUCCGAACGGAGGGAGUACUAC